rnacentral:rRNA from 1 species
UACGUAGGGUGCAAGCGUUGUCCGGAAUCAUUGGGCGUAAAGAGCGUGUAGGCGGCUCGAUUAGUCCGCUGUAAAAGUCCAGGGCUCAACCCUGGGAUGCCGGUGGAAACUGUCGGGCUAGAGUCCGGGAGAGGCGAGUGGAAUUCCUGGUGUAGCGGUGAAAUGCGCAGAUAUCAGGAGGAACACCGGUGGCGAAGGCGGGUCUCUGGACCGAGACUGACGCUGAGGCGCGAAAGCGUGGGGAGCAAACAGG